rnacentral:lncRNA from 7 species
GAUUUCCACAUCUGAGCCCAGGAUUUCUCAGCAGAGGACUCCUGAGGUUCUUCCCAGCAGAAAUGCAAGCCUUUUGGUGCAUGUUGAAAGGUCAUUUCUUUGCACGUCCAGCACUUUUCAAUCCUGUCUCAACCAAAUUUGUAUUUAUGUCCUGGGCUUUGCUGUCUGAAGCUCCAAGGCCGCCAGCAAUGGGAAGUUCUUUGACCCAUGGAACAGCCAAAGGACACCUGCAUUUUACUUGUGAACGGAUUAUGUGUGGAACUCCUCCUGUGGUGGUACCAAAGCAAUGCAAUGUCUUCAUAGCACCAGGAGUGCUCUCCCAGCCUGAAGGUGUGUCAGUUCCAAGCCAGCCUUUCACCAAAACACCCAGACGUUGGCAGCAUCAAACUCUGCUCUGAGUUGCAACCACACAGCAUGGCGUGACCUGCUUGAGCCGCACAGGUCUGCUGCUAGGUGGAGAAGGAUCCCAGUGACCACACUGGGACUACAGCAGCAGGAGAGGUUGUAUCUUUGGAGAGGCUCCACCAGGCUGCACUUACCAGGUAUAUCUGUGUUGCAGUUAUGUCUUUCUGCCUUUCCGCAGGUGAUCAGAAAGGGUUAAAAAGCCCUGUGAUAUAGGUUGGUGCUCGCACUGAAUCUACACCCACCAUAUAUAUAAGUAUAUAUAUCAGGUUUUGGAGGGGAGGUUACACAUGUCACUGGCCAUAACUCAGACUUUUAUUAUAAUCGUGACCAUAUGGUUAAUGGGACUUAAUAAACCACCAUUGACCU